rnacentral:rRNA from 1 species
AGUGAACGCUGGCGGUAGGCCUAACACAUGCAAGUCGAACGGCAGCACAGUAAGUUCUUGCUCUUACGGGUGGCGAGUGGCGGACGGGUGAGGAAUACAUCGUACUCUACUUUUUCGUGUGAGAUAACGUAGGGAAACUUACGCUAAUACCGCAUACGCCCUACGGUUGAAAGCAGUGGAUCUUCGGACCUUGCGCGAUUGAAUGAGCGGAUGUCGGAUUAGCUAGUUGGCGGGGUAAAGGCCCACCAAGUCGACGAUCCGUAGCUGGUCUGAGAGGAUGGUCGGCGACACGGGAACUGAGCCGCGCACCAGGCUACUACGGGAGGCAGCAGUGGGGUAUAGUGGGCAAUGGGCGCAAGCCUGACCCAGCGAGACCGCGUGUGUGACGAAGACGUUCGGGUCGUAAAGCCCGUUUGUGGGGAGAGAAAAGCAGCAGGCUGAUACCAAGCUGUUGUGACGGUAACGAAUGAAUAAGCUCCGGCUAACUUCGUG